GACGAACGCUGGCGGCGUGCUUAACACAUGCAAGUCGAACGGAAAGGCUCCAGCUUGCUGGAGUCCUCGAGUGGCGAACGGGUGAGUAACACGUGGGUAAUCUGCCCUGCACUCUGGGAUAAGCCUGGGAAACUGGGUCUAAUACUGGAUAUGACCUUUCUCCUUAUGGGGUUUGGUGGAAAGUUUUUCGGUGUAGGAUGAGCACGCGGCCUAUCAGCUUGUUGGUGGGGUGAUGGCCUACCAAGGCGACGACGGGUAGCCGGCCUGAGAGGGUGAUCGGCCACAUUGGGACUGAGAUACGGCCCAGACUCCUACGGGAGGCAGCAGUGGGGAAUAUUGCACAAUGGGCGGAAGCCUGAUGCAGCGACGCCGCGUGAGGGAUGACGGCCUUCGGGUUGUAAACCUCUUUCAGCAGGGACGAAGCGUAAGUGACGGUACCUGCAGAAGAAGCACCGGCCAACUAUGUG
rnacentral:rRNA from 1 species